rnacentral:lncRNA from 1 species
UACAUAAGGCAUUACAAAGGAAAACGCCGGUUAUAUAACUGUUGAUACAAAAAAUCGGACAGUGGUCCCGACUCCUGCGUCGGACACACGACUCGGGAGAAUCUGUUUAGUUUUUGUUCGGGUUAUCGUCCUGGUGCGGUUCGCGCGGCGUGCCAGUCAAUCUGACCUGUUGAUUGAUAAGGAAGAAAAGAUGUCAAAUUCCAGAGAUUUGAUCGGCUGAGGUUCCGAUCUACUCCAAAAGAUGUAUCAGCGGAUUGACCAAUUUAAUGUAAAGAUGACCGGCUAUAAAACAGCCGAUAAUCACGUAGCAAAUGUAAAACAAACUACUAGAGUAACCUAAACAAUGCUACAGAGACAACACUUGGAAUAGAUCUAAUCGGCUGUAUGAUGAUAAACAAUGUAUUGAUAUAGCCGACAGUUCGUGCCUCAAGCUGGAUAACUGGUGAUAAAAACUAAAAUAACAGGCAAAACCUAUAAUUCUAGCAAAUAUCGAUAACUAGUGAAUAAAUCUAAACGAAACAACAGCAAUGCGCCCGAAGUUAAAGCUUAGAUAUUACUCGAAACGUGGAACUUACAAAUUGGCCGGAGGUCGCGUUGAUGCAGCCCUGCCAAUUCGCACGAACUCGUGAAAAGAAAAGGGUUUGGCGAAGUCGCCAACUUGAAAGUAAAGUUGCGUGAAAAAGUAGAUUUGUAUUGAUGAUUGUUGGUUGUUUUACAAGCCUCACAAGGCACCUAUUUAUACCCUAUUACAACUGAUUUUCUAACCGACUAUGAUUUUAUCUUUUAUUCAAAGUAACAAAUAUUUACAUACGGAUACAUCUCGCAUUGGAGUCGAACACCAAUCAAUCCUUUAUGGGCCAACCCUGUCUUCAUCUUGUUACCACCUUGGCCCAUUCAGACCCAUAUCGGCCAAGCUGUUCUAGCUUCCGUCGGCUAAUUGGCCGAAACACUGUAGCUCUAUCGGCCAAUUUACCUAGCCACAGCCCCUUGUUUAACCGUGUCGGCCACUUUCUUCUCCUCUUGACGCCGAUCCUGACACGUGUCAAAAACCGGCGUCAACACAUGCCCCCCCCCCAGUUUCGGAGUGAAACAUAUCUUUUGCUCCGAAAUUUUCUCAACCCUGAUUCCUUCCUCCGGAAGAGACGCAACACUAAAUGCAGGAAAACCCUCUUUGCUCCCGAAAUUUUCUCCUUGAUGAUUGCAUUUGUUCGAAUAGAGCGCCCGCAGGCAACCGCUCCUUUCGAAAUUAGCACAGACGGCGUGGUAAAAAUUCCAUAUUUACCCUUCUCUCGAGCCAUCCCCCAGAUACUCAUCUCUUCCGCCGCUUCUUCUUCCUCCGGGCGAAAAGGGUUUCCUUUUCGGCGAAUUGUCUCCCAACGCACUCCAGUGCCCCUGCUCAUGCCGCCUCCAGGCGCAUCCCAGUGCACUCCGGUGACUUACUUAUGUUCUUCGUCGAUCGCACCGGCUCCCAAGUUUCAAUAGCGGCACCCACAGCUACCAUGGCCUUCGUUCCUGAGGUAAAUCUUCUGGGCUUUCCUCAUCUUUUCACGAUUUCUGGAUCUAUUUUUAGUCUUUUUUCGCACUUGCUUAGGAACUCAGGCAGAGAAUUACCAUCCCCAUGGCCGACACCCCCGGACUCAUCAGUCUUAGCCCUAUGGGAGAUCCUGACCCAACCGAUCUGAUUAGCCUGGAAACUCAUUGGAUUCCAUUUAAACAAUCAACCAUGGAUUUGGACAUUUGGACGAACACCUUCAAGUCUUGGCCGAAUCAAACCCCCGGAUGGAGAGAUUGGUUUUUUAGAAUGUCAGAUUCCAACAGAGUCGUCUGGGAUGAGCGAAAAAUUGGUCAUUGCAUAAAUCUGUCCUUAUCUCACAUGGAGAAGAAUGAAUCUUUGCUCAUCGCGUCGUCUUACUUCUAAUCCGACGCUCUUAAUGCGUUCCUUUUCGGCCAUGGACCAAUGUCUCCAACCUUGGCCAAUGUCCUGAUGCUGACCGGCCUCGAUAUUUCCUCCGCCGAUUCGCCUUUCGAUUUCUUAAUCAAACCUAUUCAUCUGCUGGAGACAAAAGCCAUCGGCGGAUGGAAAGACUUUAUUGAGAAGAACAUGAGGACUGGACCCAUUACGGAGAAGGAGCACACGGCCUUCUUGUUGGCAAAUCGGCCGGUCCUACUUCCAACACACAAGUUUUGGCCGAAGCACUAGUUAGAGGCGCCGCAGUCCCUUUGGGAAAGCACCUGCUAGGAUCAGUGUACUACAUGUUUCAUCAUGUCGUCGUACAGCUGUCAUCUGGGGAACCCAUCGGGAACCCUGAUAGUCCCUGGUGGUUUAUCAAUCUCUGGCUUAACUUAUACAUGAGCAAAGUCUUCAAGAAGCGGAUUGAGACCAAGACUUUCCCUAAUGUCGAAUCAGAGACUGACCCAUCGGCAAGACGCCGCUGCACCUCCUUCGGUGAAGCUGUAUCUUCUUUCCCAGGCAGCAAGCUCGCUCCCUCAAGAAUAGCCGAGCACUUCAUAUGCUUUUAUAACGGCUUCAGAGAAGAAGUGACGAACUGGUAUCCGUAUCAAAGAGAAGAUCCAACUUUUGAGAAUCCUGACUGCUUUAACUCAGGUACCAACACUUUUGAUGAGAGAAUCAUGGACAUCUUGAUUAAACCUAGGAUUCUGCCGGUGAACUUCUUUUUUGGGAAAGAUUCCCCAACAUACGAGUUCUACAACCCGUCAAUAGCGGCUAGACAAUUUGGCUUGGGACAAAUGCCAAUCGGAGUUCACUUUGUCGGCCGAGUGAAAUUUGGAGAACCGGUUUCAAGAGGACUGGAAUACAACAGACUAUGCAAUCUGACACCGGAUUCCAACACCAUUAAUCUGAGCACUUGGCUGGUUGUCCCCUUCUCUACUCAGCAAUUCAAAUUAUGGUGGGCCGAGUGGAAACAACACCUUUUUUGUGCGGCCCCUACGGUGUAUUGCAAUCAACUGGACCCCGCUCAUGCUGAUCCGAAUGCAGAGGUAACAAUACUUUUUUUCUGUCGAUUCCUUACUUUCAUUCUUUCAUGCCGCGGAACUUUUUCAUCACUGUCCUUUCUUCUUUGUGCGGGUCGAUAGCCAAGUGCCUCCAGCGCACAGUCGAAGCGACAGGCUGAUAGAGAUCCAUCAUCCGUACAAGUCGUACCCUCUUAUCGGCUAUCAUGCCCCAUCAAUGGAAGACAUAGCCACCGGCCGAUUAAAGCACAAGCUCAAAAUGUCUACCAUAAAGAAAACAAGUCGCAGGGUACGAGCUCUUACUGAAUCGGCGACAACUCGGACAACCCACCAAUCGACAGCAACGUCGACCGAGCCCUCAGCCGCACCAAUCCAAGCAGAUGUCUUGCCGACAAUUCAGGACAUUGAUCCCCUGGCAGCAUCAGAAGUUGGGUCGACGGUUGCAUCUCUCCUGGUGGAGGCCAUACAGGUAAUCUUACUAGUCUAACUUCUUCAUAUGUAUUACCAAUACUAAAUCUGUCCCUUCUUAACAGGCCGCACAACAUAUCCCGGAGCAGACUGUUCCUCAAUCGGCCGAUCCCCGAGCCGAAACUGUGCCAUCAGCAAAUCUUCAAAUUGAGGUAAAGAACAUACUCUUCACUUAAUCUCCAUAACUAUUUCAACUAAAAUCGGUUGAUUCUUGGCACAGGAUGCUCCAGACACAUCGAUCGUUCCCCUUGAGCGACUAUCAACAGAGGUGAGAAAACCAAGACUCACACUUAGAUCUAGUAUUCUUUUAUACUCACAAAUGCUUCCCUUUCCCUUCUCCAGGAGGCUGGUCCAAGCACACUACCGGCUACUACUAGAGAGCCGAUUAUUGUCGAAUCUUCUCCCUCUGAUGAACUACCUCCGCCGAUUCCUUAGACGGGAGCAGCAAUUCUACCAACCCAGGCAGAAGAGAUUCGUUUUAAUGAGGUAAGAACCUUCUAUCUUUACCAGCCGAUUCCUUACUUCUGUCGGCUAAAAUGUUUUCCGACAUCUCUGUCGGAGCAGAAUACACCAAACAACAGCCUCUUCUCUUUUGCAGUUGCGGUCUCUGAUGAUGAAGAAGUCGCAUCGCGCCAGAUAACUCUGAGCUCAAUACUAGAAGAUGUCCAUGCCAAGCUCCAAAACAUGCGAACCCUUCUUCAGGAAAACGUUGGCCGAUUGGUGGAAGAUGCCGAACCGAUACGGCAGAUUUUCAACGAGAUCAAAGGCCAAGUCCCAGAAGACGCAGAAGAGGCUCUCACACCCGCAGCAUACAUCGAAACCAUGUGGGUUCUAGUGUUUAGAGCCUUGCGACACAUGGCCAACCGUGCUAAACUGGAGAAGGUGUGUCAAGAAGAAGAAUCUUACAAGCACCAUGCACAAGAGGUACACCAGCGGAUCGGCAUGCUCGAUACCUCCCGUCCGAGCAUCUUCAAUGUAAUAGACUGGCUCAAACGGCUCAGAGCAGAACUUGCCAAAGAGAUGGAACAAGUCGUGAAAGCUAUCGCUACCGAAGAAAAGAAGCUCGAAGAUCUUCCAACUGUCAUCGCUGAUUUGAAACAAGAAAGACAAUCCCUCACUCAUGAGGCCAUCCAUCUCUAUUGUAAUGUGCCGGAAGUCCCAGAAUCGGCCGAUGACAAUCGGUGAGUAUUGGAUGCAGCCGACCAGGUUCGCCUGCAAGCAAUCGAGGCCAUAAACAACCUCCUCAGAUAGUUGUACUAAACUCAAACAACCUUUGAAUAUCUUGUAUAACGUUGAUACUUUUGGCAUGUCUAUCUUGAAUGCAAAUCUGAACGUUUCGCCCGCAGCUUUUUGACCCAACGGUUACUUUCUUUAAAUGCCCUCCUUUUACUAACCGUUGUCCAUCACCAUUUUGUCCUAUAAAUAUGAAUUCCUCACAUCCCUUCCGAAGGCACUCACACAACACCCAUUAACUCGUUCCCUGUACACACUUCCAAGUCUUCGAUCGGGCGACCAAGAUGGCUUCAUCCUCUUCUGUCAAUCAGGUACAAAGUUAACUCUCUCCCUUUUCGAUUGAUUUUUCUGUCAAUUAACCAUCCAUUACUCUCGCAGCCAAACCGGUUCAGCCCGGUCUUGAAUGAGCCAUCGAGAUCAUGCACUCCGAUGAACCGCUCACUCAGGCUGACAAAGAUCUGAUCCAAAAUCAUCGUGAGGAACUCAGAGAUCACCUUCCCACGAAUAUCAAGAGGAUUGUAGACGACAUCGAGACCAAAGCCUCUAAAAGGCAAACUUGGCAACCAGUUGAAAGGAGCCAUCAACUGCCUCGUCAAGUUGCCCUUGAAGACGAUAUGGUAGAAGUGGAGGAGAAGAACGCCCGUCUUCAGAUCUAAUUGGAUCGACUUCAGAAAGAGAUUGACAUGAAUAAAGCUCAACUGAAAUGCCGUUGAAUCAUUGUAACUUAUGAUUGUGUUGGUACUUUUUUAUCUGAGGGCGACUUGUACUAUGUCGGCCAUGUAUCCAGUUGAUGUACCGAAUAAUGAUCGGUUUAUUCAUAUAAAUCCUUCCUCGUCUCCUUCAACCUUAAGGCGAUGCCCCUUGCAUCGGCUAUAUGAACAUGACUCAGAAAGCGUCGGCCGUGAAAGCCUGAUAUGCCACAUUAUUGGCUAAGCGUCUACCAAUAUACUAGGGUAGUAUCUAGUAUUUUUCAUUUUGUAUGUGUUAAUUUAAAUGAUCUAUGGGCGUGAAUUUCCAUUUUUUUUUUGUUAUGGAACGUGUAAAUUGGAAGAUAUAUAAGCCCUUCUGCUAGGUUAUGUGCUGAUGUAACAUAUGCAAGUGCACAUGGUACAAUAGUUCUUAUUACAUGAUGGACAGUUGGAAUCAGCUACCUUGAAUAUGACCCAAUGUGCAAUGUGUUCAUGUGAUGUGGUUUGAUAUGAAUCCUGGCUUGAGAGAACCAAGAUGCAUUUGACCAACAAUUACUCUAUUACUCUUAAAAAAAUGCUUUCUUAUGAGUAUACUUUUGUACCACAAAUGAAAUAUUAAUAGAGUAAAUCUUGGACAAAGCCUUUUCCUUAAUGAAAUGAAAUACGCCCUACAAUUUCAAAUGGAGGGGAGUAUCUUUUUCUCUCCAUGUGCUUUAGUAAUUCCCAUGUUUCCAUAAUUUUUAUCUGGGGAAGCUUGUCAAGAUUCUGUACUGUCCAUUUUAUUGUGAGGACUUUUUGUUGAAACAAUAUUAGGAUUUUUUUUCAAGAACAUGAUGCAUGUGUCAGCUUUUAUUUCCUUCAGUUACAUAUCAUUUUCCGCUACUGACGCUCUUGUUUUUUUUGUGACAUGUAGGAUGUUAAUAGUGUAGCUGCAGAACAUUCAAGAGGCAGUGGACCUGUUGCUGAUGGAGUUGGUUCCUCAAAACAAACUCUGGCAAGUGUUCUUUUGUCUAGUUGAACAUCCAAUCCCAACUAAUCAAGAGUUCCAGGGGACUUGCUCAGAGUACUUACAGAUUCUAUACUGAAAGUCCCUAAGCACAGCUGCCGUUUCUCCUCUGUAUAUAGUGCUGUCUUGUACACUAGUCACUAACCAAAGCGUUUUUCUCUGGUUAUUAUUGUUUGCAGCCUAAUGAUGCAAGUCCAAUGGCCGUAGACGAACCAGGUGCUCAGAAAGUUGAAACAGAGAGCUCAAACAAAUUGCAGGACCAACCAACGAUGCACCAGAAGCCAUGAUCGGGCACCUUAACUUAGUACCUGAUGCCAUUGCAUCUGUAGCCUGUAGAUUCUUUUUGUUCAAGUUCGUUGACCGUAGACAAGCCGUGACAGUUGAAAAGCUUUAGCAGGGAGCGGAAACAAAUGCAAUUGGAACAGAUUAUGCAUCUGAACCCAUGAUAUUUUGAUUAUUACAUUUGAGUUUCUAACAUCUGCAAAUGAUAGUUUAUUUUCGUCAUGGAAACCUUAUCCUUAACCCCAAGCUGCUGCAAAGGAAUUGAUGUCGUCAUGAAAUAUGGUGUGGCCCAAAUAAGCAGUGUUUUUGACGUAGAUGGCACUUUUGGCACAUGUGAGUAUGUGACUUUGUAAUCUGUUGUAGCUAGGCGAAAGCUCUGUUGGUUGGAGUUGUCUUCUCUUCUCAUCCCUUGUGUAUGGGGAUGUCUCUAAUUGCCUGGAUAAGAGCUUGUGGUAGCCUAUUAAUUAGAAAACUAUUAUUUAACAAAUGCUAGUUUACUGAUGGGCCGCGGGUCACAGCUUGUCUUAUUUUACCCUCGAUUGCAUUAGAUGAAGUUGUGGCUUGCUGCGAUAGUGAUGAUGUGGUAAUUUCUUUCUUCUGUAUGCUGGCUUUGGAUUUUCGUAUGGGAAGGUGCAGGUCCCAUCCACUGAACGGAGAACGCAACAGGAGGGCAGAGGGACUGGUGAUGGAAGAUAUGGUUGUCAAAAUUUUGAUUCAGAUCUACAAUUUUACGACUUGAAGAUGUACUAGUUUGAUUGGACUAAUUUUUUAGAAGGUAGAAUACUCUAUGAUUUUACGAUUCUGUUAUGAUUCUACAACUUGCAAUCUUGUUGAGAGAGGCGUCAAAUUAAAAGUUGGUUUUUUGCGCCUAAGAUAUUCUACUCCCUCUGUCCUAAAUUACUAUAUUUGUUUUGACCUUCAUAUAUAUUAAUUUGGGACGGAAGAAGUUGGUGGCAUCUGAUUAAUGUUAUAGCCUGCCAUGGCAUAUUACUGCUCCACUUCAACAAACAUGAAGUUCGCUGCAAAGCAACUACCAAAACUUAAGUCAGUGAAUUAUUCCAUUCCCUAUCAAUAACUUCAUCGUUUACCAAUAAACAGCUAUCCAUUUUAUUUCAGAAUGAGGAGACAACGUCUUUCUUGUAUGUCAUGCAGAUGUUUCCGCGUUGAGUGAUAUCAGAAAUAUAUUUGUGAAUUAUCUCAUACUCCCUCCAUCCUGAAUUACUACUCGUUUUGACUUUUCUAGAUACAUAACUUUUGCUACGUAUCUAGACAUACAUAUAUAGAUACAUAUCAAACAUUUUGUAUCUACAAAAGUUAAAAUGAAUGUAAUUUGGGACGGAGGAAGUACUAACUAUGAACUGAACUAAUUUGUAACCUAAUAAUUUUGACUUGUACGGUCUACAUAAUUGCGUACACUACCGGAAACAGUAAAUUCGCUGAGUGUAAAAAUUUUGCCGAGUGCUUUCUUUCGGGCACUCGGCAAACAGCCUAUUUGCCGAGUGUAUUCAACGGGACACUCGGCAAACAUAUUACACUCGGCAAUAAGGUCGUUUGCCGAGUGCCAUAAAUAAGACACUCGGCAAACCGCUCAAAGACACUCGGCAAAGGUCCGACACUUGGUAAAAAACCGGCGCGUGCAUCGCACGUGCACCGUCCGUCACCGGACUGGGCCAGCUGUUAGUCGUUUGCCGAGUGUUGGACGCCGACACUCGGCAAAGAGGCCGUUCGCCGAGUGCCGCCCGCCCGCACUCGGCAAAAAAAGAAGUUCACCGAGUGCCCUCCAAGACACUCGGCCAACAUAUUACUUCGCCGAGUGCCUCACCUUGUACACUCGGCAAACACAAUACUUCGCCGAGUGUUUUAUUUUGCACUCGGCGAACGAAAAAAAAAUUCGUCCCCUGGCCUCCACACUUUUUCUACUCCCCACGUAGGAGAUUUUGUAAUCCAUAAUAAAAGUUGGUAUAUUUUGUGGUCUGUUUGCUAUUUUUAAUGAAAUGAUUGCAUUAAUAGGAAUGUUUUUUAUUCAUGUCAGAUUUUAACUGCAGGUACAUGAAAUAAUGGAUUAUAAUCAGUGGAAAAAUUAUAUCCAUAUUAUGGAGUCCGGAUUGAGGUCUCAACCAGGAAAUGAAAAGAAAUUUUGAACAUUGUUUUUAAAAAACACGACCACGAACGUGUGGUUGAAUGGUUGUUAAAUUCUAAAAAAAGCAAACGAAAUCUGAAAAUCACAAGAUUUGUCAAGAUGUCAUGAUAUUAUGUGUGGAGGCUGUGGUAAAAAAUUGAGAAGGUUUCUCCCAAAUUCUGGCAUAUGAUGCUUAGAAGCCGACUCAUCUUUUGGAAGGAUUCAUAGAAGUUAGAGAGGACACAAUGAGAUUUGUAGUCCAAGUGACACUUGAGUUAAGGUUUGGGGUCAAAUCUUUUUGUAUAGGCAACAUACAACACAGAUUGGUUCGUGUCAAAAUUUUGGAAUUUUUCGGAUGCGUUUACUAUUUUUUAUUGAUUAAAUGCAAUUACAUAUUUUUAUUAGAUAUAAAUGCAAUUUGCUCUAUAACUGCAUGAAAUAAUAGAACAUUAUCAGUAGAAAAAUAAUUUAACCAUUGUUGAGUGAUGUUGACACGAUUUUGCCCAAGUAUAUUAGAAAAAGUUCAGUAAAAUACGUCAUUUCAUGUACACUUUGCCGAGUGUCUAUAGAAAACACUCGGCAAAGAUAAUAUUUUGCCGAGUGUAUACGAGAACUUGUGAAUGUUAUUUGUGUGCUUGUGAUGCUUGUGGUGCAAUUUAUAUGCCUGUGGUGUAAUUUAUAUGCCUGUGCUUUUCUGGUUGUUUUUUGAGAGGGGUCUUUUAUACGUAACAUUUCUGUUUUUGCAGUAGGGGGAUGGAUACUAAAGAGGACAUUUUCUGUUAGUUCGACGGCUUUGCCGAGUGCAUUGCCAAAACACUCGGCAAAGGUGUCAUAAAAUUUUUGCGGGACUGGCCUCUUUGCCGAGUGCCAAGAGGAAGGUACUCGGCAAACUAUGUUUGUUUGCGGAGUGCCACUGGAAAACACUCGGCAAACGGCUCAAAAAAAUCUGUCGGGUGGGGCCUCUUUGCCGAGUGCCACGGGGAAGGCACUCGGCAAACCAUGUACCUUCACCGAGUGCCUUAUGGAAAUACACUCGGCAAAGAUUUUCUUUUUGCCGAGUGUCAUUUAAAAUACACUCGGCAAAACAAAAGUUAUCGCCGUUACCGUCAUAGACCGUUAUCGCCUUUGUGCCGAGUGUUAUCUUUUGCCGAGUGUUUUCUGGCACUCGGCAAACACACUGUUUGCCGAGAGAAAGUUUGCCGAGUAGGGUUCGCCGAGUGUUACACUCAGCAAACCCUUUGCCGAGUGUAUUUGGACCUUCGCCGAGUGCUUGGGGCACUCGGCAAAGUUACUGUUUCCGGUGGUGGUAGCUGCUCUUCACAUGUCGCGCGUCGUCAAAUCCCGAAGGGCUCCAAAAGAAAACCCGUGACACAUCCCCUGCUGCUUACAUUAACAUGAUCCGUUGAUUUCUCCACUGGGAUGUUUAUGGGUACGGCAAGUACGGACCGUGAGGUCUCGGAGGACCAGUUCCUAACGCACGCGUGUAGGAUUGACCACGAGCUUGGCACUGUUCGUUGCACGCAGGAUGGUCGGGGUCCAAAGCUCCGCCGGAACCUAGCCCUGGAAAUUAAUCAGGAGUACGUGUAUAUAUACAGUAUUCAAGUAAUUUCCUUGGUAGUCAGGUCUAUCCGUCUAUGAACCUAUGGUCCAAUAAUCUAUAUUGAAAGAUGCCACGGGAUGAUGAGGAAAUUAAACGAGCAGUUUAGAGUAGUAGCUAACCAACGCCACGGAUUCCAUGGCAGAUGGAGCUGGGCAUGAUCACCGUGGAGACGACGAGCAGUGCGAGCACGAGGAAACGGGCGGUUUUGGUGGAGGACGCCAUCGCGCGUGCUUUGGCUCGCAGCGAGCUGUUUGCCCCUGGUUGGGUUUAUUUCCUGUGAAUUGGAGCUAUGCUAGCUGCUG